AGAAUGUAAAAAAUAUCGAUAUUAUCCUAAUCGAAAAUGUAUAGGAUUUGUUUGAUGUUUAAUUGAAACAGUGCUACUCCGGCCCUUUCCCGUCCGUGAGGUCUGGCGAGAUCCUUCGAUUCCCUCUCUCCGGUCUCUUCUCUGAUCGGAAUCUACCGAGUUUCCGGCGAAUCGGAUUCUUCCUCCGCCUUCAGACGCCGCCGCUCCGUCGAGGAGCCGAUGCCUUUUUCCGGCGAUCAUUGGGAUCCGCUGCUAAGGAUCGAACUCUUUUGGGUGCCUUUGCUGAAAGCAAUUUGUUUUGGUAGAAGCUGGACAUGCAAAAGUGUUCUCGAGUUUGAGGAUUAGAAGAGCAAUAAGAGAGGGCUCUUGAAAUGGUGUAGGGUUCGAGGAUGAGCUGAUAAGGUUUCGGAAGUCGAAAGGAGCCAUCAAUCUACUGAUCUGAGGUUCUUCAAUCUUGGCAUGGACUGGUUACAGCAAAGACAGGUAAGUUCGUGAAAACGAUAAAAGAAAAUCUAAUGGAGAGGGGGAGGGGGAGAGAGAGAGAAUAUGAUGUUGCCUGCUUUUUUCGACGGAGCCAUGAAUCUGCAGACGCUACAUCUUGGAGCCGAGAGCAAGAGGCAUAAGAGGAGAAAGUGGAUGAGGACCUGUCUUCUCAUCAUCAUGUGCUUGUCGAGGUUGUGAAUACUGUCGGGCCAGCUCAUUUGCUUCAGCCUUCACCGUCCUGAAACUUUGGUUGGUGUAUCCAGGAGGAGGAGGUAUCCGCACGCAUUGCAGGCAGGGGCCAUGGAGGGGAUUCCGAAUCUUGGCGACAUACUCAUCGUGAGUUGACUUCUUCUCUCGUCAUCAUUUCCUAGUUAUCAAUUGAUCCAUGAUAGAAUUUUGCUACCUACCCUUUUUGUCUUUCAUUAUGAUGGUGAUGAUGAUGAUGAUGAUGGGUUUUUUGCUCUUUAACCUUGUCGGCUCUCGUUUUUAUAGUCCCACCAUUUUUUUUCAAGCCGAAAUAUCUCUUGUCGUGUAAUUGGAUACGAUAAGAUUGGAUGAAAUGGAUGGAAUAUACGGAGAUGUUUUGGAUACAUGUGAUUGAGUGUAAGUUAGGUGAUUUAUUAUA